AUUUAGUGUACCGUUAUCUUCAUCACCAGGUAAAUUCCCUGAGCAAACUCCAGAGAUGAGUCUUCAUUCAAAUCUUGACUCAACUCUGAGUUGACAAAGCCUUCAAGAGGAAUCAUGGGAACAUAUAUUUGCAUAAAGUUAGAACUCUCAUUAUUCAAAAUGGCAGCAGCCAUGAAAACUGUAUCAGUAGAAUAGAAUGUUAUGAACCACAAAGAGGAGUGGGAUUUAUUAUAGUAAGUGCAUUAUAAAACAUCAGAAUUAGAAACGGCAGCAUUACCUAAUAAACAUAAAUUAUGUUGCAAACUGAAAUUGAUAUAUUUGAAUAUAAAAAAAACCCAAACAGAACUAUUGGAAGCAGCCAUGUUUCUUAUAUGACAGUAUACAAUCUUUGUUUUUGUUUCAUACUGUAUCGUAUCUAAGCAGAGGUGAACAACACUAGAAUUUGGGCCUUCCUGAAACGUUUUGAUUGGAAAUGGCUGGUCUCGUAUUUUAUUAGAAUCAAUAUUAAAAUCUAAACUAAGUUAUGCCACUUUGCCUGUCCACACUAAAAAAGGGACGUGUUUCUGGUACAGGUGACCGACACCUUGAACCGAUUUUGGGGGAAGUGGGUGUAAGUUUUGUUAACAGAGAUAAACAUCAUUUACAGAUUUAUAUACCAAAUAUAAAAAAGAAAUACAUAGAUAUGCUCCCUGUCACCUUAUAUCAAUGUAAUAUGUUCUAUUCAAAUAAAAUUACACAUUUUUUUUUAAAAAAAAGCAUAUUACUUGAGGAAAUGCAAAAUACACUUUUUUUUAAAAAUUUGACAUCUUUGUGUCAUCACAUCGCUAAGGUAAUACAGACAUAUUGAGGUGUUUUUGUUAAUAUAUGCCUAAUAAUAUAUACCUCGAAAAUAUUUUAUAACAUUGCCCUUAAUCCAGUUCGUGCAAAAUACUAAUCUAUUUUUUUUUACAUUAGUGAUAUAUUGAUAGUAUUUAAUAUAUAUUUAGCUGUUAUCUUUACAAAUGCAAAUACAAU